rnacentral:rRNA from 1 species
AUACGUAGGGUGCGAGCGUUGUCCGGAAUUACUGGGCGUAAAGAGCUCGUAGGUGGUUUGUCGCGUCGUCUGUGAAAUUCCGGGGCUUAACUCCGGGCGUGCAGGCGAUACGGGCAUAACUUGAGUACUGUAGGGGAGACUGGAAUUCCUGGUGUAGCGGUGAAAUGCGCAGAUAUCAGGAGGAACACCGGUGGCGAAGGCGGGUCUCUGGGCAGUAACUGACGCUGAGGAGCGAAAGCAUGGGUAGCGAACGGGAUUAGAUACCCUGGUAGUCCAUGCUGUAAACGGUGGGCGCUAGGUGUAGGGGUCUUCCACGACUUCUGUGCCGUAGCUAACGCAUUAAGCGCCCCGCCUGGGGAGUACGGCCGCAAGGCUAAAACUCAAAUGAAUUGACGGGG